UACGGGGGGAGCAAGCGUUGUUCGGAUUUACUGGGCGUAAAGGGCGCGUAGGCGGCCAGCACAAGUCAGUUGUGAAAUCUCCGGGCUUAACUCGGAAAGGUCAACUGAUACUGUGCGGCUAGAGUGCAGAAGGGGCAACUGGAAUUCUCGGUGUAGCGGUGAAAUGCGUAGAUAUCGAGAGGAACACCUGCGGCGAAGGCGGGUUGCUGGGCUGACACUGACGCUGAGGCGCGACAGCGUGGGGAGCAAACAGG
rnacentral:rRNA from 1 species